GGGCCUAUAGCUCAGACGGUUAGAGCGCUGUCCUGAUAAGACAGAGGUCGCUGGUUCGAGUCCAGCUAGGCCCA
rnacentral:tRNA from 1 species